UUGGAGGGCAAGUCUGGUGCCAGCAGCCGCGGUAAUUCCAGCUCCAAUAGCGUAUAUUAAAGUUGUUGCAGUUAAAAAGCUCGUAGUUGAAUUUCGGGAUCAGUACGUUGGUCGUGCCUUAGGUACGUACUGGUGUUACUGGUUCCUACCUUCUGACGAACCAUCAUGUCAUUCAUUUGGUGUGGCGGGGAAUCAGGACUGUUACUUUGAAAAAAUUAGAGUGUUUAAAGCAGGCUCGCGCUUGAAUACAUUAGCAUGGAAUAAUGAAAUAGGACGUUGAUCCUAUUUUGUUGGUUUCUAGGAUUGACGUAAUGAUUAAUAGGGAUAGUUGGGGGCAUUAGUAUUCAAUUGUCAGAGGUGAAAUUCUUGGAUUUAUUGAAGACUAACUACUGCGAAAGCAUUUGCCGAGGAUGUUUUCAUUAAUCAAGAACGAAAGUUAGGGGAUCGAAGACGAUCAGAUACCGUCGUAGUCUUAACCAUAAACUAUGCCGACUAGGGAUCGGAUGAUGUUAUUUUUAAUGACUCAUUCGGCGCCUUACGGGAAAC
rnacentral:rRNA from 1 species